UAUAAGCUGACUCGGUGAGUGAGUUUAUUAGGAAGUGCAUUGGAGAUGUUGUACCCACUGUGACUAUUAAAACGUUCCCUAACUGGAAACUGAUUUUAUGGCAGCAUUCGGGCAAAACUGAAAGCGGGAACAACCGCAUUUAAUCAUGUCAAAGCGACUGGAAACAUGACCGAAUACAAACAGUGUAGCUAUUCCCUCUGCAAGGCAAUCAAACAAGCAAAGAGUCACUAUAGAGACAAAGUAGAGUUGCAAUUCAAAGGCUCAAACAUGACACAUAUGUGGCAGGGUCUACAGACAAUCACAGAUUGCAAAAAGAAAACCAGCUCUGUCGCGGACAUCAACAAAUUAAACUACUUCUUUGCACGCUUUGAGGACAAUAACGCGCCACCAUUACGACCUACUAACAAAGACUGUGGGCUCCUUCAACGUGGCUGACGUAAGUAAAACAUUUAAACGUGUUAACCCUCGCAAGGCUGUCCCAGAUGGCAUCCCUAGCCACGUCCUCAGAGCAUGCUCAUUCCAGCUGGCUAGUGUGUUUAAGGACAUAUUCAAUCAAUCCCUAUCCCAGUCUGCUGUCCCCACAAGCUUCAAGUUGGCCACCAUUGUUCCUGUUCCAAAGAAAGCUAAGGUCCACAGACGAUGCAAACGCCAUCACACUGAACACUGCCUUAUCCCAUCUGGACAAGAUGAAUACCUAUGUAAGAAUGCUGUUCAUUGACUACAGCUCAGCAUUCAACACCAUUGUACCCUCCAAACUCAUCAUUAAGCUUGAGGCCCUGGGUCUCAACCCUGCCCUGUGCAACUGGGUCCUGGACUUUCUGACGGGCCGCCCCCAGAUGGUGAGGGUAGGAAACAACAUCUCCACCCAGCUGAUCCUCAACACGGGCCCCUCCUGUACUCCCUGUUCACCCAUGACUGUGUGGCCUCCAACUCAAUCAUCAAGUUUGCAGACGACACAACAGUGGCAGGCUUGAUUGCCAAGAAUGAGGAGACAGCCUACAGGGAGGAGGUGAGGGCCCCCGGAGUGUGGUGUCAGGAAAAUAACCUCUCACUCAACAUCAACAAAUCAAAGGAGAUGAUCGUGGACUUCAGGAAACAGCAGACUGAGCACCCCCCUAUCCACAUUGACGGGACAGAAGUGAAGAAGGUGGAUAUUUUUAAGUUCCUUGGCGCACACAUCACGGACAGACUGAAAUGGUCCACCCACACAGACAGCAUGGUGAAGAAUGUCGUAACAGGCCCUCUUCAACCUCAGGUGGCUGAAGAAAUUUGGUUUGUCACCUAAAACCCUCACAAACAUAUACAGAUCAAAUCAAAUCAAAUCAAAUUUAUUUAUAUAGCCCUUCGUACAUCAGCUGAUAUCUCAAAGUGCUGUACAGAAACCCAGCCUAAAACCCCAAACAGCAAACAAUGCAGGUGUAAAAGCACGGUGGCUAGGAAAAACUCCUAGAAAGGCCAAAACCUAGGAAGAAACCUAGAGAGGAACCGGGCUAUGUGGGGUGGCCAGUCCUCUUCUGGCUGUGCCGGGUAGAGAUUAUAACAGAACAUGACCAAGAUGUUCAAAUGUUCAUAAAUGACCAGCAUGGUCGAAUAAUAAUAAGGCAGAACAGUUGAAACUGGAGCAGCAGCAGUCAGGUGGAAUGGGGACAGCAAGGAGCCAUCAUGUCAGGUAGUCCUGGGGCACUGUCCUAGGGCUCAGGUCCUCCGAGAGAGAGAGAAAGAAAGAGAGAAUUAGAGAGAGCAUAUGUGGGGUGGCCAGUCCUCUUUUGGCUGUGCCGGGUGGAGAUUAUAACAGAACGUGGCCAAGAUGUUCAAAUGUUCAUAAAUGACCCAGCAUGGUUGAAUAAUAGUAAGGCAGAACAGUUGAAACUGGAGCAGGAGCAUGGCCAGGUGGACUGGGGACAGCAAGGAGUCCUCAUGUCAGGUAGUCCAGAUGCACAAUCGAGAGCAUCCUGUCGAGCUGUAUCACCGACUGGUAAGGCAACGGCACCGCCCUCAACCGCAAGGCUCUCCAGAGGGUAGUGCGGUCUACACAACGCAUCACCAGGCGCAAACUACCUGCCCUCCAGGACACCUACAGCACCCGAUGUCACAGGAAGGCCAAAAAGAUCAUCAAGGGCGACAACCACCCGAGCCACUGCCUGUACACCCCGCUAGCAUCUAGAAGAACUGAGAGAUGGCCAGGCCAUGGUGGAAGACAUCGGCUGUUCACACCAGAACAGGAGACUUUUAUUGUGAACAUGGUGGUGGCAAACAGUACCAUUAGAUGCCGAGAAAUCCAGAACCACAUAAUUGCAGACAACACAAUAACAUUCACCAGGUGGGCUUGUCGACAUUGGACCCUGUUUUACAGCGCAACCGAUUCCGGAUGAAACGGGUCUGAGCGACACUCAGAUAGGGUUGAAGAACAGUGCUAUGAAUAUGUGCAAGUAAGUACUAUACUGUGAAUGUUUAGCCUGUUUAGCCUGGGAGAACAUGUCUUGUGAUGUAGAUGAGGUGCUGUUUAGCCAGGGAGAACAUGGCUUGUGAUGUAGAUGAGGUGCUGUUUAGCCAGGGAGAACAUGGCUUGUGAUGUAGAUGAGGUGCUGUUUAGCCAGGGAGAACAUGGCUUGUGAUGUAGAUGAGGUGCUGUUUAGCCAGGGAGAACAUGGCUUGUGAUGUAGAUGAGGUGCUGUUUAUCCAGGGAGAACAUGGCUUGUGAUGUAGAUGAGGUGCUGUGGCCAGACCAAAAUAGGAGGCAGGAUGCAGCCUAAUGUCAUUUUGCAUGUCUUUUUGUGUUUUUAAAGUUUGAGCCACUUUCAUUUUUAAUUUUUGUACAGAAAACCCUUUAGCUUACUGAAUGUUUUUCCUGGUUCUUCUCCUGUUGGGUAUGGGAAGUGUUACAUACAAAACACAACUUUACAAAAAACAACUUUGCAUUUUGGAAAUAAAUGGCAAUGUUUUUGCUAAUGUAUUGCAUCUGUGUGUUUAUUUAUGUACAUUUGAGCAGGUAUACAUUACUGUAACAAUAUUUUACAACCGGCUACAGUGUAACAUGGAAAUUGCAAAAAGCAUAAACUUACUGAAGGGAUAUUCAAAGUAGUGUUUUGUGCUGAGCACAUCAGUGUGUUGGUUGGUAGACAGAUCUAUUCAUAUAAUGCGUGUGUCAUUUUGAUUUUUUUUAAAACAUUUUGGAAAGAACAGUUUUUAAACAGAUUUGUAGAGUUGUGUUUUGAGAUUUGGGGAAAAUGGGCCAAGGAUUCAGCAAACGUGUUAAAAAAAAAAUAAAAUGUGGAAAACUAACAGUUGCUUAAUUGUGUAUGUUCAUUGCUGUUAUUGCCCGUUAUUAUUUGUACCUUUCUAUCUCCUUUUAGAUACUAUAGUCCACACAAACUAAGUCUCAUUUCAAGACAAAAGUCAUGUCAACAACUGUCUCUCAUUCUCUGCCCUGUAUCAUCUCCAUUGCCUGAAUCUAUAAAGACUCUUAAACUGAACUGCAUCUCUGCCUCCGCCACGGUAGAUGGGCAUCACCUUAACCCUCGCCUAAACCUCAAUCAGUUUCAAUCAUAUAACUCAAUAAUAUUGUGUGACAGGUUAUGAACCAAGCCUGGAAGGUCCUUUGGUUGUGUAUAUAGGCAGUACGGCAUCAUUUCAGUGAGCAACCAUUUUGUGACCAUGCUGCCUUUGAAGUAAUGUUUGGGAUGUGGUCGAUUGUUCCCAAUUCUAUGCGUGGAGUUUGACCAUCAUUGACUUUAUUCACGUGUGACAAUAUAUAUGAUGUUCAUUAUUUAAAGCCACUGCAUAAAUGUCCUCCUGUUGUCACUUGGUUUGUUAGAGGCUUUGCUGGUUUGAGAUCCAGGCAGUUACUGGCAGCGCCCUCCAAGAAGGUGACUGUCUUUUAAAUAAACUAAUUUGUAUUUUUUUUUUAAUACAGUGCUAACCAUUUAUUUUCUACCAUCAGAAGAACAGCAUUGUUAGUCACUUUAGUCAUCUUUUGAACUUGGUCAGCUGAAUCUGAGAAAAUGCUGUUGCAUUUCAGAAAGCUAUCAAGUAACAGAUCUAAGUCAUUUUGAUGUACUCUAGUGUGUUCUGUCAAACAAGCAAAUCUAGUCCUCUAAGCUUUAAUGUUUCCCUUUAAUGGGCCUAGAACCUGUCUAAUGUUUAGAAUAUGCAGUGUUUGGUUUUUGCCAGACAUAAUGGGACACAUCUAUUUCAAAAAGUAGACUCAGGUUUUCCAAUGAAGCACCUAGAUGAUCAUCAAGACUCUUGGAAGAUUGUUCUAAGUACAGAUGAGUCAAAAGUAUAACGUUUUGGACAACAUGGGUCCCAAUAUGUGUGGUGAAAACAACACUGCAUUCCACAGUAAGAAUCUUAUCACAGUCAAGUCUGGUUGUGUUAUGGUUUGGGGAUCCUUUGCUGCCUCAAGACAUGGAAGACUUGCCUUAAUAAUAGAAGGAAUGAUGAAUUCUGCUCUGUAUCAGAGAAAUCUACAGGAGAAUG